rnacentral:rRNA from 1 species
AUUGAACGCUGGCGGCAGGCCUAACACAUGCAAGUCGAGCGAGCGGCGGACGGGUGAGUAAUGUAUGGGGACUGCCCGAUAGAGGGGGAUAACUACUGGAAACGGUGGCUAAUAUCGCAUACUCUCGGAUAACACAUAUGGGAUUAGCUAGUUGGUGGGGUAAUGGCUCACCAAGGCGACGAUCCCUAGCUGGGGGGAGAGGAUGAUCAGCCACACUGGGACUGAGACACGGCCCAGACUCCUACGGAGGCAGCAGUGGGGAAUAUUGCACAAUGGGGGCAAGCCUGAUGCAGCCAUGCCGCGUGUAUGAAGAAGGCCCUAGGGUUGUAAAGUACUUUCAGUCGGGAGGCGUUACCGACAGAAGAAGCACCGGCUAACUCCGUGCCAGCAGCCGCGGUAAUUC